AGUGGACGUUGAUUGACGUGAGUGGCGGACGGGUGAGUAACACGUGGGUAACCUACCCUUAAGUGGGGGAUAACAUUUGGAAACAGAUGCUAAUACCGCAUAACCAUUCAGACCACAUGGUCUGAAUGUAAAAGACGGCCUUUGGCUGUCACUUUUGGACGGACCCGCGGCGUAUUAGUUAGUUGGUAAGGUAACGGCUUACCAAGACAAUGAUACGUAGCCGACCUGAGAGGGUAAUCGGCCACAUUGGGACUGAGACACGGCCCAAACUCCUACGGGAGGCAGCAGUAGGGAAUCUUCCACAAUGGACGAAAGUCUGAUGGAGCAACGCCGCGUGAGUGAAGAAGGUUUUAGGAUCGUAAAACUCUGUUGUUGGAGAAGAACAGGGACUAGAGUAACUGUUAGUCCUUUGACGGUAUCCAACCAGAAAGCCACGGCUAACUACGUGCCAGCAGCCGCGGUAAUACGUAGGUGGCAAGCGUUGUCCGGAUUUAUUGGGCGUAAAGCGAGCGCAGG
rnacentral:rRNA from 1 species